UCAUUUCUUAAAAAAAAACAAAACCCUUCACCCCUUUUUCUCUCAAAACAUUUCCCCUUCUCCGGCAGAAACCCAGAAUCCGGCAAAGGAGACCGCCGUGCCUCCGUCGCGCCGGCGUCACGUGCGGUGGCCGGAAAAUUCAAAAGAGAUGCCAGUGGUGAUGGGAGCAGGUGGUGGUAGGUGCGGCGCGGAGUGGCAGUGGCAGAGGCCAAAGGACCCUAGGCAGAUUUUUUUUUAUGAAAUUGGGCUUGGGUGUUUUGGGAUUCGGGUUUUGGGCUGUAUUUGGAUUAGUUUUAGGUUAGUUAUUGUUUUAUUUGUUGGGCCCAUGUUUGGGCAAAAUUGGGUUGUACAGUGUGUGUAAGUGUCGUAUGCAUUUUCUGAUUGUAGGUCUGUUGAGAUGUAGAUGAGCUGCAGUUUAUUGUUUGCAUGUAAAAGCAUGACACUGGUUUAUAUUGUAUAUAUCAAUUGCAUGUAAAGCAUGCCACGGAUACUGAUAAACUAAAACCAUGUUAAGUAUGCCACUGUUAUUGAUAUUGUUAAUGACUAGCAUGAUAUGCUACAUUAUUGAUAUGACAUAUUGCAUUACAUAGA